UACGUAGGGUGCGAGCGUUGUCCGGAAUUACUGGGCGUAAAGGGCGCGUAGGCGGCCACUGCAAGUCAGUUGUGAAAUCUCCGGGCUUAACCCGGAAAGGUCAACUGAUACUGCAGGGCUAGAGUGCAGAAGGGGCAACUGGAAUUCUCGGGUGUAGCGGUGAAAUGCGUAGAUAUCGAGAGGAACACCUGCGGCGAAGGCGGGUUGCUGGGCUGACACUGACGCUGAGGCGCGAAAGCCAGGGGAGCGAACGGG
rnacentral:rRNA from 1 species